rnacentral:rRNA from 1 species
UGGAGUAGCAUACUUCAGAUGGCGACCGGCGCACGGGUGAGUAACACGUAUCCAACCUUCCGCUUACUCGGGGAUAGCCUUUCGAAAGAAAGAUUAACACCCGAUGGUAUAAAGAGUUCGCAUGUUCUCUUUAUUAAAGAAUUUCGGUAAGCGAUGGGGAUGCGUUCCAUUAGAUUGUUGGCGGGGUAACGGCCCACCAAGUCUACGAUGGAUAGGGGUUCUGAGAGGAAGGUCCCCCACAUUGGAACUGAGACACGGUCCAAACUCCUACGGGAGGCAGCAGUGAGGAAUAUUGGUCAAUGGGCGAGAGCCUGAACCAGCCAAGUAGCGUGAAGGAUGACUGCCCUAUGGGUUGUAAAUUUCUUUUAUAAGGGAAUAAAGUGAGGGACGUGUCCCUUUUUGUAUGUACCUUAUGAAUAAGGAUCGGCUAACUCCGUGCCAGCAGCCGCGGUAAUACGGAGGAUCCAAGCGUUAUCCGGAUUUAUUGGGUUUAAAGGGAGCGUAGGUUGACAUAUAAGUCAGCUGUGAAAGUUUACGGCUCAACCGUGAAAUUGCAGUUGAUACUGUAUGUCUUGAGUGUACAAGAGGUGGGCGGAAUUCGUGGUGUAGCGGUGAAAUGCUUAGAUAUCACGAAGAACUCCGAUUG